rnacentral:rRNA from 1 species
AUUGAACGCUGGCGGCAGGCCUAACACAUGCAAGUCGAGCGAGAGGCGGACGGGCGAGCAAUGUAUGGGGAUCUGCCCGACAGAGGGGGAUAACUACUGGAAACGGUGGCUAAUACCGCAUACUAUCGGAUGAACCCUUAGGGGAUUAGCUAGCAGGUGGGGUAAAGGCUCACCAAGGCGACGAGCUCUAGCUGGUCUGAGAGGAUGAUCAGCCACACUGGGACGGAGACACGGCCCAGACUCCUACGGGAGGCAGCAGUGGGGAAUAUUGCACAAUGGGCGCAAGCCUGAUGCAGCCAUGCCGCGUGUAUGAAGAAGGCCUUAGGGUUGUAAAGUACUUUCAGCGGGGAGGCGUUACCCGCAGAAGAAGCACCGGCUAACUCCGUGCCAGCAGCCGCGGUAAUUC